rnacentral:rRNA from 1 species
UACGAAGGUGGCGAGCGUUACUCGGAAUUACUAGGCGUAAAGGGCAGGUAGGUGGUUUGGAAAGUCUGUUGUGAAAGCUCCCGGCUUAACUGGGAGAGGUCAACAGAAACUUCCAGGCUAGAGUAUGGGAGAGGGUACUGGAAUUCCCGGUGUAGCGGUGAAAUGCGCAGAGAUCGGGGGGAACACCUAUGGCGAAAGCAGGUACCUGGACCAUUACUGACACUCAGCUGCGAAAGCUAGGGGAGCAAAC